rnacentral:rRNA from 1 species
GGGUUGUGAGGUUAAGCGACUAAGCGUACACGGUGGAUGCCCUGGCAGUCAGAGGCGAUGAAGGACGUGCUAAUCUGCGAUAAGCGUCGGUAAGGUGAUAUGAACCGUUAUAACCGGCGAUUUCCGAAUGGGGAAACCCAGUGUGUUUCGACACACUAUCAUUAACUGAAUCCAUAGGUUAAUGAGGCGAACCGGGGGAACUGAAACAUCUAAGUACCCCGAGGAAAAGAAAUCAACCGAGAUUCCCCCAGUAGCGGCGAGCGAACGGGGAGCAGCCCAGAGCCUGAAUCAGUGUGUGUGUUAGUGGAAGCGUCUGGAAAGGCGCGCGAUACAGGGUGACAGCCCCGUACACAAAAAUGCACAUGCUGUGAGCUCGAUGAGUAGGGCGGGACACGUGGUAUCCUGUCUGAAUAUGGGGGGACCAUCCUCCAAGGCUAAAUACUCCUGACUGACCGAUAGUGAACCAGUACCGUGAGGGAAAGGCGAAAAGAACCCCGGCGAGGGGAGUGAAAAAGAACCUGAAACCGUGUACGUACAAGCAGUGGGAGCACGCUUAGGCGUGUGACUGCGUACCUUUUGUAUAAUGGGUCAGCGACUUAUAUUCUGUAGCAAGGUUAACCGAAUAGGGGAGCCGAAGGGAAACCGAGUCUUAACUGGGCGUUAAGUUGCAGGGUAUAGACCCGAAACCCGGUGAUCUAGCCAUGGGCAGGUUGAAGGUUGGGUAACACUAACUGGAGGACCGAACCGACUAAUGUUGAAAAAUUAGCGGAUGACUUGUGGCUGGGGGUGAAAGGCCAAUCAAACCGGGAGAUAGCUGGUUCUCCCCGAAAGCUAUUUAGGUAGCGCCUCGUGAAUUCAUCUCCGGGGGUAGAGCACUGUUUCGGCAAGGGGGUCAUCCCGACU